UACGUAGGGUGCAAGCGUUAAUCGGAAUACUGGGCGUAAAGCGUGCGCAGGCGGUUUUGUAAGUCUGACGUGAAAUCCCCCGGGCUCAACCUGGGAAUUGCGUUGGAGACUGCAAGGCUGGAGUCUGGCAGAGGGGGGUAGAAUUCCACGUGUAGCAGUGAAAUGCGUAGAGAUGUGGAGGAACACCGAUGGCGAAGGCAGCCCCCUGGGAUAACACUGACGCUCAUGGCACGAAA
rnacentral:rRNA from 1 species